rnacentral:tRNA from 1 species
GGAGAGAUGGCUGAGCGGUCGAAAGCGGCAGAUUGCUAAUCUGCUGUACGAUUAAAUUCGUACCGAGGUUCGAAUCCCUCUCUCUCCU